AAGGGAGAUUAAUACCGCAUAAGACAACUUGAGGGCAUCUGAGGGUUGUUAAAGAUUUAUCGGUUCAAGAUGGGCAUGCGUGCCAUUAGCUAGUUGGCGGGGUAAGGGCCCACCAAGGCGACGAUGGCUAGGGGGUCUGAGAGGAUGGUCCCCCACACUGGCACUGAGAUACGGGCCAG
rnacentral:rRNA from 1 species